rnacentral:misc_RNA from 1 species
GGCACAUCGUGUAAGGAAGACCUUGCCUUAAACCUGUUAAGGUAGGCGACCUCACAAAGGCGGUGCCAGUCCCACCCUAGUGAGUAGCAAGGUCAGUCCCACCUAUCAUAGACAACCACUAAAUAGAAAGAAGAAGAAAUUGAAAAGGUACCUGGUUGCCUCCUACUCGAUGAAGUGUAGGCUAUUAAGUGCUAAUUAAGGUGGAUGUCUUUUAUUGGUUUGGCACUGCUAUGUACUAAUAUUAUUAAAAUGGGCUGAUGGGGUUAGACCAAAUUUAGAGCUAAUAUAUUUUAUUAGUAUUUUUUUGCAUUCGUUUUUUAAUCGUAUUUUGCAUAAGGGGUGUUUGGUUCACCUUUUGAGUACAACUGAUAAUUGAUAGAGAUUUAAAUAGGUUAACCGAAGCAUUUGGCAAUCUUAAAAAAAU